CCCUCCCGGGUACACGAUGCUUCCUGGUCACGAGGUGUACAGGCCGAAACCAUCGUUUGUACUGAACAACACGGACUUUCUGCAAUGCGCGAAAAAGGCCUCGACUAACAACGACACUGAAGUGACAUCUUUUCAAUUCUGUGCUGCCAAAGGAAUGGAACUGGGAAGGUGCGAGUUGUUCAUUAACAACGUCACGAAGCUACGCACCCGCCUGGCCGACAACUGCAAUGUCUACACUCGUGGUGACCCCGCAGACCUGGGCAUUGCGCAUGGAGGAGCCGCGAAGAUAGGAGUGACUGUUGUGCUGUCCUUGCUUUCCUUGAGCGUGGUUCUGCACAACGCCUUCGUCGCCUGAGCGCGGCCACCCAUCGACAGUUGGACAUCACUGCCAAGAACUCGCUCACCUUCAGUCAAGCUGAUUCUGUACAUGCUG
rnacentral:lncRNA from 1 species